CAACCCUCAAGCAACAUCUGCUUGGUGUUGGGGACCGGCCGUCAAACGCCGCCCCCUAAAUCCAUUGGCGAUCUCGCUGCAGCUUCCUAUGCGUAGUAGUAACAUCUCGCAUGUGGAGAGCGGCGCGGUCAUGCCGUAAAACACCCAACUUCUUCCA
rnacentral:misc_RNA from 1 species